rnacentral:rRNA from 1 species
UGUGGGGCAAGCGUUGUUCGGAAUUACUGGGCAUAAAGGGUGCGUAGGUGGUUUGUUAAGUCAGGGGUGAAAUCCCGCGGCCCAACCGUGGAACUGCCUUUGAUACUGGCGAACUUGAGUGCGUGAGGGGUAGGGGGAACGAGCAGUGUAGCGGUGAAAUGCGUAGAUAUUGCUCGGAAGGCCAGAGCCGAAGGGGCCCUACUGGUGCGCAACUGACACUGAGGCACGAAAGCGUGGGGAGCAAACAGGAUUAGAUACCCUGGUAGUCCACGCCGUAAACUAUGAGCACUAGAUGGAUGCCGAGCUAUCGGUGUCUGUCGGAGGCAAUUUGGUAAGUGCUCCGCCUGGGGAGUAUGGUCGCAAGGCUG